rnacentral:rRNA from 1 species
UACGAAGGGGGCUAGCGUUGUUCGGAAUUACUGGGCGUAAAGCGCGCGCAGGCGGUUUUCCAAGUCAGUGGUGAAAGCCCGGAGCCUCAACUCCGGAAUUGCCAUUGAAACUGUUAAACUUGAGUACGAGAGAGGUGAGUGGAAUUCCCAGUGUAGAGGUGAAAUUCGAUAGAUAUUGGGAAGAACACCGGUGGCGAAGGCGGCUCACUGGCUCGUAACUGACGCUCAGGCGCGAUAGCGUGGGGAUCAAACAGG